rnacentral:tRNA from 1 species
GGUGCCGUGCCCGAGUGGUUAGGGGUCGGUCUGCAAAACCGCUUACACCGGUUCGAUUCCGGUCGGCACCUCCA